rnacentral:rRNA from 1 species
CUAUACAUGACUCUGUGCAUAUCAAUAAGCGGAGGAAAAGAAACUAACAAGGAUUCCCCUAGUAACGGCGAGUGAAGCGGGAAGAGCUCAAAUUUGAAAUCUUCAAGGGUUUCCCUUUACGAAUUGUAGUUUAAAGAAGUGUUUUCUGUUGAGGUUUUGGUAAAAGUUCUUUGGAAUAGGACAUCAUAGAGGGUGAGAAUCCCGUAUUUGACCUUUACUUUCAACUUUGUGAUACACUUUCAAAGAGUCGGAUUGUUUGGGAAUGCAGUCCAAAAUGGGUGGUAAAUUUCAUCUAAAGCUAAAUAUUGGCGAGAGACCGAUAGCGAACAAGUACCGUGAGGGAAAGAUGAAAAGAACUUUGAAAAGAGAGUUAAACAGUACGUGAAAUUGUCAAAAGGGAAGCGUUUGACACCAGUGUUGUUUUUCUGAAAAUCAAUUAAAGAACUGUUUAUGCUAAGCUGUUUAGACUUUAUCAGCUAAUCUGUUUAGUUUUGAGCUUUUCUUUAAUGCACUUUUCAGUUAACAAGUCAACAUCAAUUUCUUUUGCUGUAAAAAAGCUUGAGGAAGGUGGCUUGAGAUUCGUCUUAAGUGUUUAUAGCCUCUUGCCUAUGCAGUCGGAGAGAUUGAGGUCUGCAGCGUAGAUCCUUCGGGGCUAAAUGCAUUUGUGCUAAGUUAUAGCAUUUUAUAGACAACUUGUUGACUAUGAUUUGUCUUGUAGCUUACUCGCUUAUGUUAUUUUACCUACGCUUAGGAUGUUGACAGCAGUAUAGACUGU